rnacentral:rRNA from 1 species
GACGAACGCUGGCGGCGUGCUUAACACAUGCAAGUCGAACGAUGAAGCCGGAGCUUGCUCUGGUGAAUUAGUGGCGAACGGGUGAGUAACACGUGAGUAACCUACCCUUGACUCUGGGAUAACUGCUAGAAAUGGUAGCUAAUACCGGAUACGACCCUCGGAGGCAUCUCCAGGGUGUGGAAAGAAUUUCGGUCAAGGAUGGACUCGCGGCCUAUCAUCUAGUUGGUGAGGUAACGGCUCACCAAGGCGACGACGGGUAGCCGGCCUGAGAGGGUGACCGGCCACACUGGGACUGAGACACGGCCCAGACUCCUACGGGAGGCAGCAGUGGGGAAUAUUGCACAAUGGGCGCAAGCCUGAUGCAGCAACGCCGCGUGAGGGAUGACGGCCUUCGGGUUGUAAGCCUCUUUUAGUAGGGAAGAAGCGAAAGUGACGGUACCUGCAGAAAAAGCACCGGCUAACUACGUGCCAGCCGCCGCGGUAA